AUUGAACGCUGGCGGCAGGCCUAACACAUGCAAGUCGAACGGUAACAGGAAGCAGCUUGCUGCUUUGCUGACGAGUGGCGGACGGGUGAGUAAUGUCUGGGAAACUGCCCGAUGGAGGGGGAUAACUACUGGAAACGGUAGCUAAUACCGCAUAACGUCGCAAGACCAAAGAGGGGGACCUUAGGGCCUCUUGCCAUCGGAUGUGCCCAGAUGGGAUUAGCUAGUAGGUGGGGUAACGGCUCACCUAGGCGACGAUCCCUAGCUGGUCUGAGAGGAUGACCAGCCACACUGGAACUGAGACACGGUCCAGACUCCUACGGGAGGCAGCAGUGGGGAAUAUUGCACAAUGGGCGCAAGCCUGAUGCAGCCAUGCCGCGUGUAUGAAGAAGGCCUUCGGGUUGUAAAGUACUUUCAGCGGGGAGGAAGAGAGAAAAGUUAAUACCUUUGCUCAUUGACGUUACCCGCAGAAGAAGCACCGGCUAACUCCGUG
rnacentral:rRNA from 1 species